UGGCGACGGGUGAGUACACGUGACUACCUACCCUCAGUGGGGAAUACUUCGGGAAACGAGGCUAUACCGCAUACAUCGCGAGUUGGAAUCUUGCGAUCAAGGAGCAAUUCGCUGGAGGAGGGGGUCGCGGCUGAUUAGCUAGUUGGCAGGGUAACGGCCUACCAAGGCGAUGAUCAGUAGCCGGCCUGAGAGGGCGCACGGCCACACUGGAACUGAAACACGGUCCAGACUCCUACGGGAGGCAGCAGUGGGGAAUUUUGCGCAAUGGGGGAAACCCUGACGCAGCAACGCCGCGUGGAGGAUGAAGUCCCUUGGGACGUAAACUCCUUUCGAACGGGACGAAUAAUGACGGUACCGUAUG
rnacentral:rRNA from 1 species